CGUAGGAAGCAAGCGUUGCCCGGAAUUACUGGGCGUAAAGAGCUCGUAGGCGGGGCGUGCGUCCGAAAGGAAAUCUCAAGGCUCAACCUUGGGGCUUUUCGGAUACGGCGCUUCUUGAGGGUGAGAGAGGAAAGCGGAAUUCCAGGUGUAGCGGUGAAAUGCGUAGAUAUCUGGAGGAACACCAGCGGCGAAGGCGGCUUUCUGGCUCAUUCCUGACGCUGAGGAGCGAAAGCGUGGGUAGCGAACGGGAUU
rnacentral:rRNA from 1 species